GACGAACGCUGGCGGCGUGCUUAACACACGCAAGUCGAACGGUGAAGCGCCUUCCUUUUUGGUGGGUGUGGAUGAGUGGCGAACGGGUGAGUAACACGUGAGUAACCUGCCCCCUUCUUCUGGAUAACCGCAUGAAAGUGUGGCUAAUACGGGAUAUUCUGGGUCUGUCGCAUGAUGGGUCUGGGAAAGAUAUUGUUUCGGUGGGGGAUGGGCUCGCGGCCUAUCAGCUUGUUGGUGGGGUGAUGGCCUACCAAGGCGGUGACGGGUAGCCGGCCUGAGAGGGUGGACGGUCACACUGGGACUGAGACACGGCCCAGACUCCUACGGGAGGCAGCAGUGGGGAAUAUUGCACAAUGGGCGCAAGCCUGAUGCAGCGACGCCGCGUGAGGGAUGGAGGCCUUCGGGUUGUGAACCUCUUUCGCCAGUGAAGCAGGCCUGCCUCGUUUGUGGGUGGGUUGACGGUAGCUGGAUAAGAAGCGCCGGCUAACUACGUG
rnacentral:rRNA from 1 species